AUUGAACGCUGGCGGCAUGCCUUACACAUGCAAGUCGAACGGCAGCACGGGUGCUUGCACCUGGUGGCGAGUGGCGAACGGGUGAGUAAUACAUCGGAACAUGUCCUGUAGUGGGGGAUAGCCCGGCGAAAGCCGGAUUAAUACCGCAUACGAUCCACUGAUGAAAGCGGGGGACCUUCGGGCCUCGCGCUAUAGGGUUGGCCGAUGGCUGAUUAGCUAGUUGGUGGGGUAAAGGCCUACCAAGGCGACGAUCAGUAGCUGGUCUGAGAGGACGACCAGCCACACUGGGACUGAGACACGGCCCAGACUCCUACGGGAGGCAGCAGUGGGGAAUUUUGGACAAUGGGCGAAAGCCUGAUCCAGCAAUGCCGCGUGUGUGAAGAAGGCCUUCGGGUUGUAAAGCACUUUUGUCCGGAAAGAAAUCCUUGGCUCUAAUACAGUCGGGGGAUGACGGUACCGGAAGAAUAAGCACCGGCUAACUACGUG
rnacentral:rRNA from 1 species